rnacentral:misc_RNA from 1 species
AAACUGUAUUAGGUUCAUUAGAGCUUGGUGGUAUGGCAGAACUAACAUCUGCAACAGAAAAUGAAGACAGUAUUGGACCUACUGGCAAACUAACACUAACUGGGGCUCCAGGAAGGGUAGGAACAGCUGUCUUAUUAGCAGCUGAACUUGGUAACGUUUCAGAAAUAGAAGUAAAAGGGAACAUAGGCAAAGCUGUUGAAAAGGUUGGAGGGGGCACAACAGUGGAGGUCAAGUUAGGAGAACUAUUACUACCAGAGAGCAAGGGAGAUGGAACUUCAGGUUGUUUUGGAGCUCCAGUGGGUAAAGACGCACUAAUGUUAGGA